UAGCCUGGGUUACCAUGGGAGACCCUGCCUCAAAGAACAACAGCAGCAGCAACAACAACAAAUAAAACAAGGAAGGCGUGUGGAUGGUGUCUGGGUAGUUUAAAAUGACUAGAAAUUUGUGGUUUUAUCAUGUUUCUACAUAGAACAAAAUACUAAUCUUUGGGAAUAUUUGACUGGCAAGACCAUCACCCUGGAGGCUGAAAACAUUGACUUCUUCACUGAGAGCACAAAGGCUAAGAUUCAAAAAUAAAGAGUUCUGGAUCCUUGCCUUUUGUUCAGCUCAGGUCAAGUUGAGGGAAGAAAAGAUAGAAUCAGAUUUGCUGGGCUGUGGAUAUCAUGGACCUCAAAUAUCAUUGUUCAGUGAAGCUGAAUGAUGGACACUUGAUGCCAAUGCUUGGAUUUGGCACAUUUGCUUCUGAAGAAUGCAGUGGAUUACCCCUACUAUCCAUAUAUGAAAGAAUUUUGAGCAUGAGCUGCUAGACAUUACAGAGACAUUCUGCCCUCCAGACAGCAUGUUCCUGUAUUUGGUGGGGUCGUUAAGAAGCAGCAGUCUUGCUUUCUUGUGCUUGUCUAAUGUCACAAAACUAUGACUCACAGGCCCUCACUGCAACUGGGAUCCUUCGAACCCACUCACCAGAUAAGCUUCAUUCCUUUGGGUCCAGCAUAUGUGCCUGGGUGCCCCAGGGAGAAGAAGCAGUUCCCAGGCUCUGGAAUGACACAGUCACACCAAAAUGGAUGGAGCUAGGUGAAAAUCAUCUUGUUAAACAUUAAAAUCCCAACUCAGGAAGGCAAAUAGCUCAUCUGUUCCCCCUAUCUAGUUUUUGAAAAAGACAUAAAAGUAGAAGAGAGGUUAUUUAGGAGGGCAGAGAGGGGACAAAACGGACAGUGAAA